rnacentral:rRNA from 2 species
UGAACGCUGGCGGUAUGCCUAACACAUGCAAGUCGAACGCAAUUNUUCGGAAUUGAGUGGCGGACGGGUGAGUAACACGUGAGAAUCUGCCUUUUGGUCGGGGAUAACAGUGGGAAACGACUGCUAAUACCCGAUGAGCUGAGAAGUAAAAAAUUUAUUGCCAAAAGAAGAGCUCGCGCCUGAUUAGCUAGAUGGUGGGGUAAAAGCCUACCAUGGCAACGAUCAGUAGCUGGUCUGAGAGGAUGAGCAGCCACACUGGGACUGAGACACGGCCCAGACUCCUACGGGAGGCAGCAGUGGGGAAUUUUCCGCAAUGGGCGAAAGCCUGACGGAGCAAUACCGCGUGAGGGAGGAAGGCUCUUGGGUCGUAAACCUCAAAACUUAGGGAAGAAGAAAGUGACGGUACCUAAUAUAAGCAUCGGCUAACUCCGUGCCAGCAGCCGCGGUAAUACGGAGGAUGCAAGCGUUAUCCGGAAUCAUUGGGCGUAAAGAGUCUGUAGGUGGCACUUCAAGUCUGCUGUUAAAGACCGAAGCUUAACUUCGGAAAGGCGGUGGAAACUGAAGAGCUAGAGUAAAGCAGGGGUAGAGGGAAUUCCUAGUGUAGCGGUGAAAUGCGUAGAGAUUAGGAAGAACACCAGUGGCGAAGGCGCUCUACUGGGCUGAUACUGACACUCAGAGACGAAAGCUAGGGUAGCGAAAGGGAUUAGAUACCCCUGUAGUCUUAGCGGUAAACGAUGGAUACUAGGCGUAGGUUUUUUAAAAGAACUGUGUC